rnacentral:rRNA from 1 species
GACGGAGGAUGCAAGCGUUAUCCGGAAUGAUUGGGCGUAAAGCGUCCGCAGGUGGCAGUUCAAGUCUGCUGUCAAAGACCGGGGCUUAACUUCGGAAAGGCAGUGGAAACUGAACAGCUAGAGUAUGGUAGGGGCAGAGGGAAUUCCUGGUGUAGCGGUGAAAUGCGUAGAGAUCAGGAAGAACACCGGUGGCGAAGGCGGCGAGCUGGUCCAUUACUGACGCUGAGGCGCGACAGCGUGGGGAGCAAACAGG